GCUCUCAGCUUGUUAUCUUGACAUUUUUUGCCUUUGAAGGGGUUAUAGAAUGACGGUGAUUGAAUCAGGGACAGUGUAUUUCACAAGAAUCCUUUGGGUCCUUCCAAAGUAUGUUCUUGUUGCCUUGGCUGUCAGUCCUGAGCAGAGGUGGGAGGAGGCCUGCAUGCCAGGGAGUGUGCAAAAGAAGUGAAUGCUUACAGAUCUUCAUCACUAUCUUCCACUAACACGAGUGGCUGCGUAGGAGGGGCUGGUGGUAUUAAAGGUAGAUGCUUUGUGUGUGUGUAUGUUUGGGAGGGGGGUGGUGUAUCAUAUUUGUGCACAAGGGGCUGUAGCCGGCUAGCUGUUUUAGAAGAGAUUCUAGUUCACCUCAUCUUUGGACAGAUUGGUUUUAUCUCCAUUCUCCAGAAGCCUGGCUUUGGUAUUAGGGUAACAAGAAUGAUUUUAUUUUUUUACUUUCUCUCCCCCCCCCCCUUCUCUUAUUCUCCUCUGAAAGACAUGAGUACAUACAUGCCUUUGUGGUCAGGCCUACUUUGAAAAAUGGUGCUGUGUUAAAAAGUUUGAUAGCCCCUGAUUAAGCUUGUCACUUGACAAAACCCAAGCCACCCUGGGUCUUGGAGUUGGGUGGGGAAUGGGUAGAAGAUGUUGGGCUGGCAAGGUUGCUGUAAAACGGGGGAUUGGACCAGGGAGAACUUUCCCAGGGUGCAACUUAGUGACUAUUGUUUUGUUGAUAAGUCUGAGGGAAAGAAUAUUAAGAAUUGAGGUUGUUCCUUCUGUCAUGAUUUCUAGAAGACUGUAUUAAAUUUGAAUAUGAUUCCCUACCCGCGCCCCCCACCCCCCA